rnacentral:rRNA from 1 species
AACGAACGCUGGCGGCAGGCCUAACACAUGCAAGUCGAACGCUGUAGCAAUACAGAGUGGCAGACGGGUGAGUAACGCGUGGGAACAUGCCCUUCGGUUCGGAAUAACUCAGGGAAACUUGAGCUAAUACCGGAUACGCCCUUAGGGGGAAAGAUUUAUUGCCGAAGGAUUGGCCCGCGUCCGAUUAGCUAGUUGGUGAGGUAACGGCUCACCAAGGCGACGAUCGGUAGCUGGUCUGAGAGGAUGAUCAGCCACACUGGGACUGAGACACGGCCCAGACUCCUCCGGGAGGCAGCAGUGGGGAAUAUUGGACAAUGGGCGCAAGCCUGAUCCAGCCAUGCCGCGUGAGUGAUGAAGGCCCUAGGGUUGUAAAGCUCUUUCGCCAGGGACGAUAAUGACGGUACCUGGAUAAGAAGCCCCGGCUAACUUCGUGCCAGCCGCCGCCGUAAAAC